rnacentral:lncRNA from 1 species
AUUCAUUACCACCAUCACGAUAGCUACUUUGAAUGACUUGUCUCGAAUAGUGAUGACCUCUGUCCUUCAAGCCACAUUCCAGCCCACUUCCUGCUGUGAUCCACUACCCACGUUUAUGACUUGCUUGGGCAGACCAUGGACCCAGAAUCAGCGGCUGCUGGGAAAGAAAAUUGCAAACACACACAGAACUCAAGUGGCUCAGUGGAUGGAGAACCCGCCUGCAAAUCAAGAGAUGCCGGAGCUGCGGGUUCGAUCGCCGGGUCGGGAAGCUUCCCUGGAGAGGGGCGUGGCAACCCACUCCAGUGUUCUUGCCUGGAGAUUCCCAUGGACAGAGCAUCCUGCUGGGCUACAGUCCACGUGGUCACAAACAGUUAAACACGACUGAGGUGACUUGGCACACACGCAGUUUCAACACAUGGAUACAGUCGUCGGCUAUCACUCUGUCUGCCGAAUGUUAACUGAAGGUCAUUACCACGCAGUGAGGCUGGACACUGGGAUACAACACAUAAAGGCUGAAAAGGAAGAAGUGAGGUGAAGUUGCUUAGUCGUGUCUGACUCUUUGCAACCCCAUGGACUGCAGCCCACCAGGCUCCUCCAUCCAUGGAAUUCUCCAGGCAAGAGUACCGGAGUGGGUUGCCAUUUCCUUCUCCAGAAAAGGAAGAAAGAAACUGUUAUUUUGGGGUUUUGCUGAUAACAAAUGUCUCUAUGGAAAUUCCAGAAACUCUACAGGUAAACUCUGGGAACUCAUAAAAGCAUUUGGAAAAGUUGUCAGAUACUGAUCAAUAUACAGAAAUCAACAGUGCUCUUCAACAGCACUACCAACUGAUUGACAACGUGAAUUUAAGAAAGACGGCAUUUACGUAUUACCCCAAACUGUAAGGCUAUCAGGAAUACAACUCCAAAACAUAUGACAUUGUCAUGGAGAACAUGAAAAACUUUACUAUAAGACGUAAAGGAAGG